AACGAACGCUGGCGGCAUGCCUAACACAUGCAAGUCGAACGAGACCUUCGGGUCUAGUGGCGCACGGGUGCGUAACGCGUGGGAAUCUACCCUUGGGUUCGGAAUAACAGUUAGAAAUGACUGCUAAUACCGGAUGAUGACGUAAGUCCAAAGAUUUAUCGCCCAAGGAUGAGCCCGCGUAAGACUAGCUUGUUGGUGGGGUAAUGGCCUACCAAGGCGACGAUCUUUAGCGGGUCUGAGAGGAUGAUCAGCCACACGGGGACUGAGACACGGCCCAGACUCCUACGGGAGGCAGCAGUGGGGAAUAUUGGCCAAUGGGCGAAAGCCUGAUCCAGCAAUGCCGCGUGAGUGAUGAAGGCCUUAGGGUUGUAAAGCUCUUUUACCAGGGAUGAUAAUGACAGUACCUGGAGAAUAAGCUCCGGCUAACUCCGUGCCAGCAGCCGCCGUAA
rnacentral:rRNA from 1 species